rnacentral:rRNA from 1 species
UACGGAGGGGGCGAGCGUUAUUCGGAAUUAUUGGGCGUAAAGGGCGCGUAGGCGGCUUGAUGUGCCAAAGGUGAAAUCCCUCGGCUCAACUGAGGAACUGCCUUUGAAACUGUCUGGCUUGAGGCCGGGAGAGGGUAGCGGAAUUCCCAGUGUAGCGGUGAAAUGCGUAGAUAUUGGGAGGAACACCAGUGGCGAAGGCGGCUCACUGGACCGGUACUGACGCUGAUGCGCGAAAGCGUGGGGAGCAAACGGG